AGCGAACGCUGGCGGCGGCCUAACACAUGCAAGUCGAGCGCCCCGCAAGGGGAGCGGCAGACGGGAGAGCAACACGUGGGAACGUACCCUUUGGUUCGGAACAACCCAGGGAAACUUGGGCUAAUACCGAAUAAGCCCUUACGGGGAAAGAUUUAUCGCCGAAGGAUCGGCCCGCGUCUGAUUAGCUAGUUGGUGAGGUAACGGCUCACCAAGGCGACGAUCAGUAGCUGGUCUGAGAGGAAGAUCAGCCUCACUGGGACUGAGACACGGCCCAGACUCCUACGGGAGGCAGCAGUGGGGAAUAUUGGACAAUGGGCGCAAGCCUGAUCCAGCCAUGCCGCGUGGGUGAUGAAGGCCCUAGGGUUGUAAAGCCCUUUCGGCGGGGAAGAUAAUGACGGUACCCGCAGAAGAAGCCCCGGCUAACUUCGUGCCAGCAGCCGCAGUAA
rnacentral:rRNA from 1 species